rnacentral:rRNA from 1 species
AGAGUUUGAUCCUGGCUCAGAUUGAACGCUGGCGGCAUGCCUAACACAUGCAAGUCGAACGCGAAAGCGCCUUCGGGCGUGAGUAGAGUGGCGGACGGGUGAGUAACGCGUGGGAAUCUGCCCUGUAGUGGGGGACAACCCGGGGAAACUCGGGCUAAUACCGCAUACGUCCUACGGGAGAAAGGGGGCCUUCGGGCUCUCGCUACAGGAUGAGCCCGCGUCCGAUUAGCUAGUUGGUGGGGUAAAGGCCCACCAAGGCGACGAUCGGUAGCUGGUCUGAGAGGAUGAUCAGCCACACUGGGACUGAGACACGGCCCAGACUCCUACGGGAGGCAGCAGUGGGGAAUAUUGGACAAUGGGCGAAAGCCUGAUCCAGCAAUGCCGCGUGUGUGAAGAAGGCCUGCGGGUUGUAAAGCACUUUCAGUAGGGAAGAAAUGCUGAGGGUUAAUACCCCUUGGUCUUGACGUUACCUACAGAAGAAGCACCGGCUAACUCCGUGCCAGCAGCCGCGGUAAUACGGAGGGUGCAAGCGUUAAUCGGAAUCACUGGGCGUAAAGCGCACGUAGGCGGCUAGGUAAGUCAGAUGUGAAAGCCCCGGGCUCAACCUGGGAACUGCAUUUGAUACUGCUUGGCUUGAGUCUAGUAGAGGGGGGUGGAAUUCCAGGUGUAGCGGUGAAAAUGCGUAGAUAUCCUGGAGGAACACCAGUGUCGAAUGCGGCCCCCUGUACUAAGACUGACGCUGAGGUGCGAAAGCGUGGGGACCAAACAGGAUUAGAUACCCCUGGUAGUUCCACGCCUGUAAACGAUGUCGAACUAGUCCGUUGGAUCCUUUUUAUGGGUUUAGUGCCGUAGCUAACUGCGAUUAAGUCGACCGGCCCUGGGUAGUACCGGCCUGCAGCGUUAAAAACUACAAGGAUUUGACGGGGG